rnacentral:rRNA from 1 species
AGUUAGUGGCGGACGGGUGAGUAACGCGUGGAAAACCUGCCGUAUACUGGGGGAUAACACUUAGAAAUAGGUGCUAAUACCGCAUAAGCGCACAGCUUCGCAUGAAGCGGUGUGAAAAACUUUGGUGGUAUACGAUGGUUCCGCGUCUGAUUAGCUAGUUGGUGGGGUAAUGGCCUACCAAGGCAACGAUCAGUAGCCGGCCUGAGAGGGUGAACGGCCACAUUGGGACUGAGACACGGCCCAAACUCCUACGGAAGGCAGCAG